rnacentral:rRNA from 1 species
UACAGAGGUCUCAAGCGUUGUUCGGAUUCAUUGGGCGUAAAGGGCGCGUAGGCUGCGGGGCAAGUCGGGUGUGAAAUCUCAGAGCUCAACUCUGAAACUGCACUCGAUACUGCUUUGCUUGAGGACUGGAGAGGAGAUUGGAAUUCACGGUGUAGCAGUGAAAUGCGUAGAUAUCGUGAGGAAGGCCAGUGGCGAAGGCGGAUCUCUGGACAGUUCCUGACGCUGAGGCGCGAAGGCCAGGGGAGCAAACGGG